rnacentral:lncRNA from 1 species
CGGAGUUCGGUGGUCAACAUAACUUAUUUUAUUUUAUAUUUAGAUAGAUAUACUUGUUGAGAAUCCCGAAAAGUCAAUGUGGGUAGCCAAGCAUAAUGUGUUUGGGGGUCUGACAUUGAUAUAAAUAUCGUGUCAAGAGUUCAUUUGGUGGCUCAAAAAUUGCGAAUCGAUAUAAAAUCAUCAUAUUCCUAGGCCAAGUUUAAUUUUUAAUUUAUAUGUUGUUGAAUUUUUCUGAGUUGUUGAGCAAGUAGGACAGACACAAUGUGAAAUCUUGAAAUUUUUUAUAGCAACUUGAAUGUACAUAUAGAAGCACUGGCAAUAGUGUGCUAGUCAUUGAUCAUAUUAAUAUUUGAUCCGAUACAGUCAUUGUAGUGGAAUUUAGACUCAGAGAGACAAAAUCCGAAUUAGACGUAAAUCUGAGAAUAAGUGGGGAUAUCAAGAACGACGUUAACUUCGAUAGCGAGAUCAUAAUUAAAAAAAUAGUUUAAUCAUGUACAUAUUCAUGCAUAUUAUUACUUGAUGAGCAUUUACUCAUAUAGAUUUGCUUUACAAGCAUGACACCGUAUGUGUUGGAGGUUUGGUGUGAACUCUUAGAUGACGGGACGAUUAUGUACUGAGUACGUGAUUAGGGUUAAAUGGGUUUGUCAUCAGGGAAUUCAAAAAAGGGAAAAUUGCAGCAGAAGUUUCGAACCUUUUAAACACUAGCAAACUUUCCCCUAAUUUUUCAUUCGUUGUAGCCAUCUCCCCAAACCUUUUCAACCGUUGCAUUUGAGGCCCUUUUGGAUAGAAUCUGUCCAAAUUUUCGUUAGUUGACUAAAAAAUUAAUUUUGACCACAUUUUACUCAAUUUUUAAAGGGCAAAAUAGUAAUUUAACAUUUUCUCCACUCACUUUCACUUUCCCUUUCUCUCUCUCUCUCUCUCUCUCCUCUAUCUCUAUCUCUCAGUUCUUUCAAACUUCACCCCUGCUGCUAGCCCUGGAAAUUAUUAUCCUUAUACGAGUUUUAGACAUUGAAUUUCAGAAAAUUCCCCCCCAAAACACGCAAUUGAAUCGGCUUUUGACUGAAACCCAAGCCAAAAAGUAAAGAAGUAAACGGAACCUUAAAUUCCAAGGGAGAUCAAUGAUAAUGGGAUUUUAAAUGAAACCCAAGCCAAUAAUUUCGAAGCAAGUUCUGCCCAUGAUCUGCAAUCCAAGUUUUCAUCAUUCAGCCCAAAAAUAAAAAUAAAGAAUUAUCAAAGGUGAGUAACCAACCUCUUAAUUGAUAAAUCUGGUAAAGAUUGUCAAAGAAAUAAUUAGUUAAAAAUUUAAAUCAAACUGAAUCUUGAGUUUAUUGGCGUCAAGAUAACCAGAGAAAAGCUACAUACAGGAAGAAAUAUGAUGAGAAUACACGAACAAAAAUGCAUACCUGUGGAUUGAAACUUUCCUGGUCCCCUUCUCAAAUUUUUUUACAGCAAUUGGGACUGAAGUUUUUGGGUGUAUAAGCUUGGAGGAGUUUCACACAAUCUAAUCGGCUUUUGGGCCACCGGCUUGCCAUACGAAACUCAGAGUCGCGUUUGAUUUCUUUGAAUCUAACACACAGACAGACGAGAAGAGAGAGAGAGGGAAGACGGAGGGACAGAGGAGAGAGAAA